UAAAGUACAGGUCUCUCCAGUGCCCCGGACUGCAGGUCCAGCCCUAUCUGCUCAUACUCCUGGUUGUAUCCCGUGUCCGCCCACGAUGUUCCAUCAUUGAUUUCCUUAUCCUUCCCCCACGUCCUGUCAUCUGUGCACUGCCUGGGGAAGAUGUCCUGACCACAGCCUCUGCCUGUGUCCUCAAGCAGCUGGGCAGGACUCCACCUCUCCCAGGACCGUUCUGUACUUGCUGACACUUGGUGAGGCUCAGUGGCCUCGAAGAGAAGCGGACAUGUGAGAAAGCAGCAAUGAGCAGUGGAGGCACCAUGGAAAUCUCAGCCAUGUGUUGCAGACACAUGUGCGCUUGCCUACAGCCUGGUCCUGGCAGAUGGGUCCCCAUGCCCGAUGGCCAGCAUGGAGGACAGUGGGGCCUAGGGGGAGGAGGAGUGCUCUUCCCUCUUCCCGCAGUCCGACUUUCCAGCUGGGGAAGAGACCAAAGCAGCACUUCCCUCCUGCUCUAGCAUCCCCAGAGAUGGAAGCGCUGGCCCUGUCUACUGAAGGUGAGGUGCUCGCUGGAGACUGUGACCCCAAUACUGAAAGCUGUGCUUUCCAGAG